CGGAUUUAUUGGGCGUAAAGAGCGUGUAGGCGGCUUUACAGGUCCGUUGUGAAAACUCGAGGCUCAACCUCGAGACGCCGGUGGAAACCGUAAAGCUAGAGUCCGGAAGAGGAGAGUGGAAUUCCUGGUGUAGCGGUGAAAUGCGCAGAUAUCAGGAGGAACACCCGUGGCGAAAGCGGCUCUCUGGGACGGUACUGACGCCGAGACGCGAAAGCGUGGGGAGCAAACAGG
rnacentral:rRNA from 1 species